rnacentral:rRNA from 1 species
GACGAACGCUGGCGGCGUGCUUAACACAUGCAAGUCGAACGGAAAGGCCCUGCUUUUGUGGGGUGCUCGAGUGGCGAACGGGUGAGUAACACGUGAGUAACCUGCCCUUGACUUUCGGAUAACUUCAGGAAACUGGGGCUAAUACCGGAUAGGAUCUCCUGCUGCAUGGUGGGGGUUGGAAAGUUUCGGCGGUUGGGGAUGGACUCGCGGCUUAUCAGCUUGUUGGUGGGGUAGUGGCUUACCAAGGCUUUGACGGGUAGCCGGCCUGAGAGGGUGACCGGCGACAUUGGGCCUGAGAUACGGCCCAGAAUCGUACGGGAGGCAGCAGUGGGGAGUCUUGCACAAUGGGCGGGAGCGUGAUGCAGCAACGCCGCGUGCGGGAUGACGGGCUUCGGGUUGUAAACAGCUGUCGCCUGUGACGAAGCGUGAGUGACGGUAAUGGGUAAAGAAGCACCGGCUAACUACGUG